AUUUGAAAGGCCUAAAAUACACAAGAAAUGUGUUCAUUCAAGAAAAAGCAGGUGGAGAAAGAAGAUAGCUACUGCAUGCCUGUUGGUGAGGAAAGCAUGUUUGUUCAGAAUAUAUUGGAGACUCAGUUCAGGAAGAAGUCAUCCUUAGGAAAAUAUUACGCCUGUAAUAUUGCCAAGGUAAGCUGUCGGCCUAGGCAGUAAGUAUGGCCAGAGCGACAAGAGGAAAAACUCUCCAGUCCCAGUAGACAGUAUUUAACUGCCAGCUAAUAAUACAUUGGGAAGGAGUUAAAAGCCCUGGCUGGAGGCAUGGCUUGAUGCCUCAAGUCACAACACUCUUGAAAUGAGAAGAAAGGGAGACAGGACCGGCUGGGCAGAUAUUGCAGCCUGAGACUUCAAGGAGGGAAAGGAAGAUCUGUGAAGGAACAAGAAAUAGAGAAAGAAUUAAUUACUACUCUCACAAGAAGAUCUGAUGUGAAAUAGGUUAUCUCCAAAUCUUAAUGCUUUUUAUCAUAGAUCAUACACAUAUGUACUUUACACCACUCUUCAAGAAAAGAGAUGUCUUUGGUGCAAUAGAUACAUAUAUGCUAAUCUCAAUCUUUCUUCCUCUGUUUUCAGACCCUGUGAAGUUGUCUUGCAUUGAAUUGGGCCAUUAGAUCAUUUUUGGCUAGUAUGCUAUUGGUUACAAUGGCCUUAAUACUUAUUAUAAUAAUACUCAAGUUUUGUGGCAAUCUAAGAAGGAAUGUUAUUUCUUUAUAUGGAUAUUUAUGUCCUGCUCUUUAUUCCAGGAUCUUAAGGCAAUAAUGUAACACAUAAAAUUAGACAAUUUGAAAUAAAAUAAUUUAUAUC